rnacentral:rRNA from 1 species
UUCCGGUUGAUCCUGCCGGAGGCUACCGCUAUUGGAAUCCGAUUAAGCCAUGCGAGUCGAGAGGGUUUAGCCCCUCGGCGGACGUCUCAGUAACACGUGGAUAAUCUGCCCUUGGGUGGGGGAUAAACUCGGAAACCUGAGUAUAAUACCCCAUAGGUCUAGGAUGCUGGAAUGCUUCUAGGCUCAAAGCUCCGGCGCCCAAGGAUGAGUCUGCGACCUAUCAGGCUGUAGUGGGUGUAAAGGACCCACUAACCUUCGACGGGUACGGGCCUUGAGAGAGGUUGCCCGGAGUUGGACUCUGAGACACGAGUCCAGGCCCUACGGGGUGCAGCAGGCGCGAAAACUUCACAAUGUGGGAAACCGCGAUGAGGGGAUUCCAAGUGCUAACACUUUGUGUUAGCUGUUCACCUGCCUAAAAAGCUGGUGAAGUAAGGGCCGGGUAAGACGGGUGCCAGCCGCCGCGGUAAUACCUGCGGCCCGAGUGGUGGUCGUUAUUAUUGAGCCUAAAGCGUCCGUAGCCGGUUCAGUAAAUCUCUGGGUAAAUCGGGCAGCUCAACUGUCCGAAUUCCGGAAAGACUGCUGAACUUGGGACCGGGGGAGGUUGGAGGUACUCCUGGGGUAGGGGUGAAAUCCUGUAAUCCUAGGGGGACCACCAGUGGCGAAGGCGUCCAACCAAAACGGCUCCGACGGUAAGGGACGAAGCCCUGGGGCGCAAACGGGAUUAGAUACCCCGGUAGUCCAGGGUGUAAACGCUGCACGCUUGGUGUUGGGGGUCCUACGAGGGCGCCCAGUGCCGGAGAGAAGUUGUUAAGCCUGCCGCUUGGGGAGUACGUCCGCAAGGAUGAAACUUAAAGGAAUUGGCGGGGAGCACAGCACGGGUGGAGCGUGCGGUCAAUUGAUCACGCGGG